UGGGGAAUAUUGGACAAUGGGCGAAAGCCUGAUCCAGCAACGCCGCGUGGAGGAUGAAGGCCUUCGGGUUGUAAACUCCUGUUAGGGGGAACGAAAGGCCGCGGGUUAACAGCCGGCGGCCCUGACGGUACCUCCAGAGGAAGCCCCGGCUAACUCUGUGCCAGCAGCCGCGGUAAUACAGAGGGGGCGAGCGUUAUUCGGAAUUAUUGGGCGUAAAGGGCGCGUAGGCGGCUUGGUAAGUCAAAGGUGAAAUCCCUCGGCUCAACUGAGGAACUGCCUUUGAAACUGCCCAGCUUGAGGCCGGGAGAGGGUAGUGGAAUUCCCAGUGUAGCGGUGAAAUGCGUAGAUACUGGGAGGAACACCAGUGGCGAAGGCGGCUACCUGGACCGGUUCUGACGCUGAUGCGCGAAAGCGUGGGGAGCAAACAGG
rnacentral:rRNA from 1 species